rnacentral:rRNA from 1 species
CCUACGGGAGGCUGCAGUGAGGAAUCUUCCGCAAUGGGGGAAACCCUGACGGAGCGACACCGCGUGAAGGAUGACACCCUAACCGGGCGUAAACUUCUGUUCUGAGGGACGAAAUUUUUGACGGUACCUCAGGAGAAAGCACUGGCUAAUUCCGUGCCAGCAGCCGCGGUAAGACGGAAGGUGCAAGCGUUACUCGGAAUUACUGGGCGUAAAGGGUCCGCAGGCGUCCUGUGAAGUCUGAUGUAAAAGCACGGAGCUCAACUCCGUGUCCGUGUCGGAAACUUACAGGAUUGAGUCAUACAGAGGCAUCUGGAAUACCAUGUGUAGGGGUAAAAUCCGUUGAUCCAUGGUAGAACGCCAAAAGCGAAGGCAAGAUGCUGGGUAUGUACUGACGCUCAGGGACGAAAGCGUGGGUAGCGGGCGGGAUUAGAUACCCCGGUAGUC